rnacentral:rRNA from 1 species
AAAAUUUGAAGAAAUAUAGUUUUUUCAACCAUUGUUUAGAUCUGAAAUCAGGUGGGACUACCCGCUGAACUUAAGCAUAUCAAUAAGCGGAGGAAAAGAAACUAACAAGGAUUCCCCUAGUAACGGCGAGUGAAGCGGGAAAAGCUCAAAUUUAAAAUCUGGCAGGUUAUCCUGUCCGAGUUGUAGUUUCAAGAAGCGUUUUCGGUGCGCGUCUGGGUAUAAGUUCUUUGGAACAGGACAUCAUAGAGGGUGAGAAUCCCGUUUAUGACCCGGAACAGCGUACUAUGUGAUACGUUUUCUAAGAGUCAGGUUGUUUGGGAAUGCAGCCUAAAAUGGGUGGUAAAUUUCAUCUAAAGCUAAAUAUUGGCGAGAGACCGAUAGCGAACAAGUACCGUGAGGGAAAGAUGAAAAGAACUUUGAAAAGAGAGUUAAACAGUACGUGAAAUUGUUGAAAGGGAAACGUUUGAAAUCAGUCGUGCGGGCGGGUAAUCAGCUUGGCCUUUGGGUCUUGUGCACUUACUCGUCUCGCAGGCCAGCGUCGGUUUUGUUUGCCGGAUAAAUGCCAAUGGAAUGUAGCUCAACCUUUUACGAGGAGGGGUGUUAUAGCCCUGGUAAAUACGGCGGUCGAGACCGAGGUCUGCAGUUGAUGCCUCUCGGGGCUGGGGACUCCAUCGCUCAUUCGCACCCGCGCCUAGACAGCUUGCUGACUAGGUGUGUGGUCUGUGGGUGACACGGUGGGCUACCACACAUCGACUUGGGUCGCUGGCGUAAUGGUUUUAAAUGACCCGUCUUGAAACACGGACCAAGGAGUCUAACAUAUAUGCGAGUGUUUGGGUGGCAAACUCAUGCGCGUAAUGAAAGUGAAUGUAGGUG